GGAGGGUGCAAGCGUUAUCCGGAUUCACUGGGUUUAAAGGGUGCGUAGGUGGGUAGGUAAGUCCGUGGUGAAAUCCUGCAGCUUAACUGCAGAACUGCCGUGGAUACUAUCUCUCUUGAAUACCGUGGAGGUCAGCGGAAUAUGUCAUGUAGCGGUGAAAUGCUUAGAUAUGACAUAGAACACCAAUUGCGAAGGCAGCUGGCUACACGAAUAUUGACACUGAGGCACGAAAGCGUGGGGAUCAAACAGGAUUAGAUACCCUGGUAGUCCACGCCCUAAACUAUGGAUACUCGACAUACGCGAUACACUGUGUGUGUCUGAGCGAAAGCAUUAAGUAUCCCACCUGGGAAGUACGAUCGCAAGAUUG
rnacentral:rRNA from 1 species